AUACGUAGGUGACAAGCGUUAUCCGGAUAUACUGGGCGUAAAGGGCGUGUAGGCGGUCUUGCAAGUCAGAAGUGAAAUUCCUGAGCUCAACUCGGGCGCUGCUUCUGAAACUGCAGGACUUGAGUGCUGGAGGGGAUAGCGGAAUUCCUAGUGGAGCGGUAAAAUGCGCAGAUAUUAGGAAGAACACCGGUGGCGAAGGCGGCUAUAUGGACAGUAACUGACGCGGAGGCGCGAAAGCGUGGGGAGCAAACAGGCGUAGAUGCCCUUGUAGUCCACGCCGUAAACGAUGAAUACUAGGUGUAGGGGGUAUCGACUCCCUCUGUGCCGCAGUUAACACAAUAAGUAUUCCGCCUGGGGAGUACGGCCGCAAGGUUGAAACUCAAAUGAAUUGGCGGGG
rnacentral:rRNA from 1 species